UCAUGUGUCCGGUCAGCUCUUCCAUCCGGUAAAAAGAAGAAGAAAGGUGGUGGCGGUGGGACCUCCGAUCAGUCAAACACCCAACUCUCGAGUUCAAUAAAAAAUUCAAUUGUAUCACUAAAUAACACGAUUGAUGAAGUUUCUAAAUCGUUAAAAGAACAAAUCAAUAAGUCAGUUGAUGGGGACAUUGACAUUUUACUUUCGUCUAUUAAUUGUGUUGAUGGUGGGCCCGGGCCCGGAAAAGUUGUUAGGAUUCUUGAAAAAUUGGUUUCUUCGGUCGAUGAUUUGGAGGUUGGUGAAAGGAUUUGUCAUGCGGUUAAGCCGUGGAAGGCGGCUGAUGUGGCGAGGAAGAUGGUGACGGCUCAGGGAACUGCUUUGACCGACUUCCUUAAUGUUUGUGAUUCAAAAAUAAAGGUUUUGCAGGGACUAAAACUUCAAAUAUAAUAAGAUUUGGUGAGUGAGUCCAUGAGGUUAUUUGUACACUUAGUGUUUCAUUUGUUGAGCUGUUUUGGUUUUUUAGUGUUUUUUUACAGCUUUUUGUAUGAGCAUAAAUUUUGGAAACACAUUUUAUUUUUUGUAAAUUGAUGGCGUUUUGCUUUUGGAGAUUGGAUUUUUUGUUAUAUAAAUGGUGUUUUUGUUUUUUGUUUUAAUUGUUUGGAAAAGAUAGUUUUGGAGGUGUCAAAAUCAUGUACAAAGUUUUCAAUAGAAAAAUAGCAAUAAUUAAUGGUUACACCAAAACCCUCUUUUGGUUUUGAUUAAUGAACAUUUUUAAUUUAAAUUCUCUUUGUCUUUGCCAAAAAAGAACCCCAACUGUUUUUUUAGUCAGGGUACCAUAAACAAGAAGGUUGUUUCUUCAUUCUUUUAAACUAAAAGAAACUACCAUCCUCUUAACAUAGGAAGCUCAAAUAGUUUCCAAAAGACAUAGAUGUACAUAAUGCUAAGUCUUGGUCUAUAUUCAUGAUCUUGGCGAUUAUAAUAAUUAUAGUCUAGAUUUUUGUAGUAAUCGCAUUGUAUGCUAAGUCUUGGUCUAGAUUCAUGAUCUUGGCGAUUAUAAUAAUUAUAGUCUAGAUUUUUGUAGUAAUCGCAUUGUGUGCUGAUCUAUAGCUGAUAAGGGACAAUUAGGUAGGAUCAGAUCGGAUGUAGGUUCCGUUUGGCAUACAGAGUAUACUGUUUGCAAAUCCCACUUUAAAAACCGCAUUAACUCCAGCCUUGAUAUUCCGUAAGUAGAUCAAUCAGUAUAAUGACAUGAAAUUAUUGAUAAAUCUUAUUUAUAGGUUUAUAAUAACGACUUAUGACUAUAAAUAUAAAUUACACUAAGAUAAGGUUGAAUGUAAUUUAACUUACAUAGAUUUUCUAGACAAAAGUCUGGAAUUUGCACUGGCAGAACUCCGGUCUACUAGCUACUAGAUAUCGGGCUUUUAAAGACCUCAUAGCUUGGCUAAAACUUUUAGAAUCGAAUGAAUUUCAGACCAAAACAACAAAAAAUCGAGAGAGAGAGAGAGAGAGAGAGAGAGAGAGAGAGAGAGAGAGAGAGAGAGAGAGAGAGAAUAUUGGAAUGAUAUUGGGAGAGAAUGAGCAACAACAUCUAUUUAUAGGGUUGAAUCUCGACCUUGCGCGCCGCGCACUCCAGCUACGGCGAUCCUCCAGAUUUUUGCCACGUGUCACAAAUAUGGUGGUCCACGCCCCACUAUCUAGAAGGUAAACGCGCCGCGCCUCUUGCGUGCACUUGUGAAUUUCCAAAUUUUCAAAAAAUCGUAUAUUCUUCAUACGAACUCCGUUUUCGACGUUCUUUAUAUCCCCAGAAAGCUCUCGACGAGAUCUACAACUUUUGUUGUAAUACCCAUAAAAAUCACAAGAAAUUUAAACUUUAAAAUCAACCCAAUUCAUAAAUUGUUUACAAAUCAUAGUUUUCAAAACAUUUUCCAAACAUCUGAGUCUCCCAAAAUCAUAAGUCAUAAACAAGAGGAAGUGUACAAUCACACCUUCGCCUCCUACGAUCAUUCGAAGUACCUAAAACCACAACUAAAAACCGUAAGCCAAAACUUAGUCGUUUCCCCCAAAGUACCAACACAUAAGCAGAUAACUAUACGAUAACAACAUGUACUGGGUCCACAACUAAAAUAUUGGAUUACCCCUGAGCCCACAACAUAAGUCUGGCUUGCCCUCGAGCCCAUAACUUAUGUCAGGCUUGCUCCCUGAAGAAAUCCAUCAUAGGACCGAAAUAUCGUUAAGUCCUUAAUACGAGUCUGGCAUACUGCUCGAUCCUCAGCUCAUAUCUAGAAUUCUCCUGAGCCCUCAGUAUAAGUCUGGCAUGCCCUACCCGACCCUCAACUCAUAUCUGGAAUGCUCCAGGGUUUGUUAGCUACCGCACGAAGCAGUACGACCUCUACCCAACGCAAUAUGUUGACAUAUAACGGAUAAUAACAUAUACAUAUAAUCAUGCAAACAAAAGCACAGGUAGUCCUACAUAUCUACCAGACUAUCAUAUCGAAAACUAACGUAAUCAUGCAUAUCUAUUCCAUACUCAACAUAUCAAUGAAUGGCAGAAAUCAAACCAAUGAGUCGGCCUUGGUGCCUUCGAACCGUAAGUACAGUAAGGAAAACUCACCUCACAAACUGGACAAAAGCUGAUGAGGUAUCGACUAUGAAUCUCAACUCUAACCAACACCUAUUCCAAGGCGAAUCUCAAUCAAAAUCCCAAAAUACCCUCCUUAGGUGAAACUGGGUCAAAGGGUCAAAAAGUCAAGAAGAGUCAACUUAGCUGACCGUCACACCAUGGUAGCCCUUUACCACGUCGGGUGUCGAAAACGACAAAAUAGUCGUGAUCAGCCCCGCCACCACGUUGUGGUGGCCUUGCCACGUCGUGGUAACAUGUUUUUGCAGCAACUUAACGCAUUCAACCAUUUUCUUCGAUUCUAAAGGGUCUCCAACUCAAAUAUGGUCCAUAAUAGGGUCUAGAUGGAUAAAGUUUCCAACUUUAUCCAAUAGAACCCUCCAAAAUGUAUAGAUCUAAACUCUAAGGUCCAAAACACUACAUGUUAUGCAAUAAUCACUCAAUCCAUAAGGUUACUUGUCUAAAAGCUCCAAAAGAGUUUCCAACAGCAAACACAUCAUAAAAAUCAAUGCUUUUCAGACAUGCAUGCCCAAUGCAUGUCUUGAACUCUUAUUAGGCCAAAAUAGGGCAAAAAGGCCAAGAUUCCAUGCAUGGCCUCAAAACUCAAUUUUAAUUCAUAUCCAAAGAGUCAAAUGCUCCAAAUAGCCUGGAAAUUCAUAAAGUUGCAAACUUUAUGAAGUUUAACCAUCCAAAGCAACAAGGCAUAGAUAAAAGUGGACAAAAUCCAAACAUCUAUCAACUAACUCAUCAAGAUGAAGACUUUAUACCUUCUUGAGAAGAUUGAGGAAGAUAAACUCUUGGAUCUAUGUUUCUUUGGUCUCCUAAUAUGAUAUUCCAUCACCUUCUUUCUUUAUAAGCACCAAACACACACACUUUAAGGCUAAAAACUCACACAAGGGAUCUAGGGUUUGCAAGGGAUGAUUUGGAGAGAUGGAGGCUGAUGGGAGGGAGGCUAUGAGAGGUUAAGGAGUUUAAAUAAGGGCUCAACCCCUAAACUCUAGGGUUUUCUCCAAUAGCCACCACCAUGUCGUGGCCAAAAAGAAAUCAUACACAAUUGUAAUAAUCUCAUAUCUGGAAUCGAGUGUUACAUUUGUUUAGACUCCAUCGAUUAAUUUUGACUUUAUUUUUAAAACUAUAUGUUUAGCAGGUUUAGACUGUUAAAGUCCUUUAAAAGUUAAUAACUUUGUCAUAUGAUAUCCGUUCUUGACCGUCUUUAUAUCGACGAAACCAUAUGGACGAGAUCUUCAACUCUCAUUUAGAUUGUUUUUCCUAAUAAUCAACUGAUCUCUACUUCGGUUUCUGAGCCGUAUAUUGUUGCGUCGAAAAUUUGAAAAAUCAUAACUUCUUAUGAUGAAGUCAGGUUUGGGACGUUCGCUGUAUGCAUGCUCAAGAUUUAACGAUCAUUACGAAUUUAGUUUAGAUUAUUUUCCUUAAAUAAUCCUUAUUUGAUAAUGUCUAAUUAUCACUGAGACUAUUAAUUAUCCUAUUAUUCUUUAAUCAUAUAGCCAUAUCUUGCGGGCGUUACAAUUAUAUCCCCUUUAGGAUGAUGGCAUCCUAGAAUCAUCAACAAAACAAAGCUUGUGUAAUGACUCCACAUGUUACCUUUCCAUCAUAGGUGGUAAUCGUAACUCUUAUGUCAUUUCUAUUGAGUUUCUAACUCUUAGACUUAUUGACUGUUAAUGGUGCUGCACCUACUUUUCCUCCUAAAUUAAGGUCUUUACUUCGAUUACCAUAACAUACCGCUGCACCAUUUUUUAAUGAACUUUUAUCGUAUGAUGCAACAGUUAGACUCAAGUCUCUUUGAGUUAGACGCUAACACGAAAGGUACCUUCCUUCAUUUUUUAAUGUGAUAUUUUAGCAUGUAGCAAUCUCUAGCUACCGGUUGCAUUUUAGCAUGUAGCAAUCUCUAGCUACCGGUUGCUAAGCUCUAGUGAUGAUUUGCAACCUGUAGAUUGCGUUGAUCCUUUCCUUCAUAGAUCUUUAACUAAGGUCGGACACUACGUCGAACUUACUUCAUAGAUUAGUCGGACUCGAUUUGAUAUGACCUACAAAGGUCUGAAUGAUAUUUAUCUUCGUAGUCAUUACCGAAACAAAGAUAACGAUGAAAUGAACCAAUUAACCAAAUAGCUCAACUACUUAGAGACUUAGUAACCUUGUGACUUUCUCUGAUCCAAGUACGAGUCCCGUGCUUCCAGUAGUAUAGGCCUCUACUAUCUUUCACACCUACUCAAAUUUGUUCAAAGUAUUGCCUUGCUGAUCACAACAGGAAAUCACAUAGAAAACACAUAACACAAUAUAGCUAUUGAAAUUUUGUGAUUUGGUAUUUAGAUUAUGAUAGGAUACAGAGAUAUGAAAAUACUCAGGAGAGAGAAGAUGGCUUAUAUUUGAUCUCUUUUCUUUAAAUUAUAAACAAAUAUAAAACAAUAAAAUAAUUAAAAAAUAAGUUCAUAAAUGUAUUAUAAUCUUUUCAUAUAUGUCAUGGACGGAAAAAUACAAGAACUCAGAAAACAAAAGAAAAUGUUAGGGACCAAACAUAAAUUUUUAUAAAAUAUAUGGACGAUUUGAAUAAUAUGUUCUAUAUUUUAUCAACUUAACAAAAUUGGCUACAAUAGUCCCCCCUCUUGUUUCCACAGCCGUCCAAUAGUCCCCCCACCUCCCACGGCUUCCAAUUAGAUCAAUAACUCUUAAACAAAGAAAACCCAAUUUUUCUUUCUGUUUUCCAGAAGCUUUCUCUAUAACUUCCCCAAAUUCCCUCGAUCCCUCGCCGUAAGUUAUUCACUUUCUUGCAGGUUGAAUCCAAGCAAUCAAUUUUAGGGUGCUGUGUUGUAUUUUAUGCUCCAAACCUGAAAUCGACGUUGUAUUCUGUUUUGUUCUGCUCUUUUUUUUAUUUUUUAGGUUUGUUGUUUUUUUUCAUUCUUCUGAUUUCCGCCUUCCGACUGUGUGUUAUCAUUUAAAAGAUACCGAAAAAGAAGAAAGAGAAAGAGGCAUACAUCAGUCUUCCCGAAAGUAUCAAAAUUUACCAAAACCCUAAGGAUCAGGAACUAAAAAACCCUAACCUGAAUGGAUCCUUGCUCAGAAAGCUCUAGCAACAGUCCCCAAGAUUCCGGUAACGUCUCCACUGUUGCAUCUGGCUCCUCCACCUCGUCUCCAGCAGUGACCAUCACCCCUAGCCGCUACGAGAACCAGAAACGCCGGGACUGGAACAUCUUCUGCGAGUACCUGAAAAACCAGCAUCCACCACUCUCUGUUUCACAAUGCAGUAGUGCAAAUGUGCUUGGAUUCCUUUCUUACCUUGACCAGUUUGGAAAGACUAAGGUUCAUAACUUGACAUGUCCGUUUUAUGGGCAUCCGACAACGACAGACCCUUGUCCUUGUCCAGUGCGACAAGCUUGGGGUAGUGUGGAUUCUUUGAUUGGCCGUCUUAGGGCGGCUUAUGAGGAGGACGGUGGUUCAUAUAAGACGAACCCUUUUGGGGCUGGAGCCGUGAGGCUUUACCUUCGAGAGGUUCGUGAGUCGCAAUCAAAAGCAAGAGGGAUCAGCUAUGAGAAGAAGAAACGAAAACGGUUGCCUCCACAAGGUGAUGUUUCUUGAAGUCAACAAAACACAAAUGAAGCAGGUGACUAUUAUAUUAUGUUGGAUCUUGGUAUGCAUUCAUCUUUAAUUUUGUUUUUCAUUUUGUGUUCUUCCCAUGUUGAAUUAUCAAGACUGAAGAGUACUUCUAACUCUUGUUCUUGCUCAAAGGAACCACUGUUAGUUUGUUUUCAUUCGGAUAUCUAGAAAAUAAUGUCAAAAAUGAAAAAUCCUGUUAUUAAUUAUGUACAUCAGUUAUAUGCGUACUAUUCACUUUCCAAACCAUCAAACUUGAUCACUUUAAAUUUGUUUUCAAAAGUCAAAACUAACAUAAAAUGCCAAAAACACUACAUAUAUAUAUGCAAUGACUAGUUUUGGUGUACUAGUCACUUGAUUUUAUCCUUUUUAGGUACAAGUCAUUGGAUGUGAAGAACAAACAGAAUCAAAAGUGACAAGAACAAUCGAGAAAAGAUCACUACUUCCACGUUUGAUAUAUCUAUCAUGAGUAAAAGUCAAUUCCAAUUCCGACAUUAAUGGUUUUGAUCCCAAAGCCUCCUCAGAGCUCAAAUCCUUACUUGAAUCCUAUGCAAAGUUUCUACAACUCCCAUUCCACAAUGCAGUGGAGCUUGUUACCAGUGUUGCAUCCGGUCAAAAACAUUUGGAUGUUUUUUCUCCAAAUCUGAUUGACUGGAUGAACUUUGCUGUGUGUUUAAACGCCUGGAAUCUGAAUUCCAACGGAAUCACAAUUCCGAUGAAUUUAUGUUCAUUACAACAACAAUCUGUUUCUUCAAAGAUAAAAACCUCAAAACCGUUAGUAUCUUUCCCGGGAACCGACCUUUCCAUUCUUGUCCAUUUAGUGACGGAGCCGCUGACGUGGCACGGUCUCAUCAUCCAGUCAUGUGUCUGGUCAGCUCUUCCAUCCAGUAAAAAGAAGAAGAAAAUUCAAUUGUAUCACUAAAUAACACGAUUGAUGAAGUUUCUAAAUGGUUAAAAGAACAAAUCAAUAAGUCAGUUGAUGGGGACAUUGACAUUUUACUUUCGUCUAUGUCAAUAACAUUUACCCUUCGUCUAUUAGUUGUGUUGAUGGUGGGCCCGGCCCCGGAAAAGUUAGGAUUCUUGAAAAAUUGGUUUCGUUCGGUUGAUGAAAGUAUUGUGGCAAGGAAGAUGAUAAAGGUUUUGCAGGGACUGAAACUUCAAAUAUAAAAAGAUUUGGUGAGUGGGUCCAUGAGGUUAUUUGUACAUACACAUUUCAUAUUUUGUAAAUUGAUGGCGUUUUGCUUUUGGAGAUUGGACUUUUUUAUAUAUAAAUUGUGUUUGUGUUUUUUGUUUUAAUUGUUGGGGAAAAUAUAGUUUGGAGGUG
rnacentral:lncRNA from 1 species